GAGGACGCUUGCCACUUUGUGGUUCAUGACUGGGGUGAAGUCGUAACAAGGUAGCGCUAGGGGAACCUGGCGCUGGAUCACCUCCUUA
rnacentral:rRNA from 2 species